ensembl:lncRNA
GGGGGACAAGACUCAGUUAGGAUACAGUUAGAUAGAUCUGAGACUCAGUUAGGAUACAGUUAGAUAGGUCUGAGACUCAGUUAGGAUACAGUUAGAAAGGUAAGAUACAGUUAGAUAGGUCUGAGGCUCAGUGAGCUAAGAUACAGUUAGAUAGGUCUGAGACUCAGUUAGGAUACAGUUAGAUAGGUCUGAGACUCAGUGAGUUAGGAUACAGUUAGAAAGGUCUGAAACUCAGUUAGGAUACAGUUAGCUAGGUCUGAGACUCAGUAAGUUAGGAUACAGUUAGAUAGGUCUGAGACUCUUCUUUGAACCAGGCUCUUCGUUUGGACUCAGUUAGUUGGGUCUCAGACUAAGUUGCUUAGGGCCAGUUACCAAGGACCAGUUAGCAAAGACUAACUGGUCCUAAGGUAAAGAGACAACACACCUCGACGAGGUGGAACCAGAACUGGACUCCAACACACAACCGGCAAAGUGAAGGUUUCUAUUUGCAGUUACACUGACUUUCUUUUCCAUCUUAUCUUGUCAUUAUUUAUAUCCAAUAAGUAAUACACCGUUUAAUCUGCACUGUUAUUGAAAGGAGGAAUAAAUGAAGAGCUGAGAGGUGACAGUUGGGAUUAUGGGAGACGGGGUUAUGAUGAAGAGGAAGGGCACCUCCUCUGAUAAUCUUCGGUGACCACCCUGCUCCCUGCGGAGGGGGACGCGGGCCCCUCCCUCCGCCCCCUCCUGCCAGCUCCUGGGGGGCGGGGACAGGGGGCCGGGCCCCCGCGCUGAGGCCCCGCCUGGCCCCCCGCCCUCUCCGCUGAGGACCUCCAAGCUGUAGCUGUACACACAAACACACACACACACACACAGGCACAUACACACAUACACAAAACACACACACACACGCACGCAUACACACAGGUUAAGAAAAAAUAAAACACACCAGUGAAAAGAGAGACACACACACACAGACACACAGACACACACACACACACUAGUAUACACACAACCCACAAGUUCGGACGCACCCCAUUUCAGACACACACACACACACACACA